rnacentral:rRNA from 1 species
AACGUAGGGGGCGAGUGUUAUCCGGAAUUACUGGGCGUAAAGGGCGUGUAGGCGGUUAGGUGUAUCGGAAGUUUAACCCUAUGGCUCAACUGUAGGAAGUCUUUCGAGAUUACCUAAGUAGAGGGUAGAAGCGGGAGAUGGAAAUCCCGGUGUAGCGGUGAAAUGCGUAGGUAUUGGGAAGAACGCCGGCGGUGAAGACGGUCUCCUGGGGUACACCUGACGCUGAGGCGCGAAAGCUAGGGGAGCGAACGGG